rnacentral:rRNA from 1 species
UACAGAGGAUGCAAGCGUUAAUCGGAAUUACUGGGCGUAAAGCGUGCGUAGGUGGUUUGUUAAGUCAGGCGUGAAAUCCUGGGGCUCAACCUCAGAAUUGCUCUUGAUACUGACAGACUCGAGUGUGGUAGAGGAUAGUGGAAUUCCCGGUGUAGCGGUGAAAUGCGUAGAUAUCGGGAGGAACAUAAGUGGCGAAGGCGGCUAUCUGGACCAACACUGACACUGAGGUACGAAAGCGUGGGUAACAAACAGG